CAACCUUAACUGAUCAGGAACACUGAAAAAAGAAACCUUAAAAUUUCUAUCGUGCAGCAACUUUCAUUAGAACAAAAUUCCCCUAGCUAUUGAUGAAUUGAGCAUCUGGCUGUACCUUACCUAGAUCUCAACCUCACCUUUAACAACUGAUUUAGAUCAAUGGAAAAAGUUAGGCAGUAGCUAUUUUGCUUUUAGGGAUGGCUUGGUCAGGUGAAAUAAAGCAAGAACAUGUAUAGCCACCGCUCUUGUCAAUCAUAGGCACCUUAAGUUUAUGCAUGGUCACAAUUCCUACCUAAAAUUUUCAGGAAAUGUUAAAAAAUAUCCUACAGUGAUGAAAAAGAAAGAAAACCUUAAGUGCUUUUUGAGAAGAUCAAUGACAUCGUAAUUAAAGAAUGAAGUCCAUCCAUGAGCAAAGGGGACACUAGUGGCACAUUUGUUUUGGCGGGUAAAACGACUGCCUUCUUCCUACAGUUAUGAUCGACAACUCACCAAUAUAAUUCACCAUCGCCUCCAUGUUAAACCAGAUAUUUCGGGUAGGCCGCGGUGAAAUUACAAAGCUCGAAACGCCUAGUCGCUGAUGACGAAUCAGCCCGUCAUGGUGAAAAAUUCUUGUUGCUUAUUGACGUCUUAAGCUUUAUUUUACCCCACCUAUCUUUGAAAGCCGUGCUCUCGAACUGAAACUGAGCCACAACUUGGACAGAAUAAAAACCACCUGUCACGGUACACAAACUUCUUCCACUUUGCAUAGAAAAAAUUGAAUCGUCAACAUGCUUAAACUAUCGUGAUUCUUCAAGAUUCGAUACUUAAAUCGAUUUUAGCAGACGUACUUGGUUUCAAAAGCUUUCUCCGAAAAGUUUUUUCAAGGCUAACCUAACAAAACAAGAUUCUUUUUAUUAAUUCAUUUUCAACGUUAUGCCAUUAAGAGUAUCACGAUUAAAUGUCAAAAGUGACUGAAAAGCUCCCGGCUGCCGAACAAUUUAUAUGGGUGAAGAAAUUCGCUUUGUUUCUGCAAGCUGCUGAACACCGGAUCCAAACAUGUGAAGCUAAGGCAAAAAAAAAAAAAAGUGGAGGCCAAAAGAGACACACCUGUUUAUAUAGAAGAGGACUGAACGGCCCCGCGGGCGUGAAAUGAUCUCCUCCGCAGCAACACACUGUGUGUAACCCUCCCGAACGUUCAGGGAUGGAUUCGGUCACUGCGUACGGAAUUUCAAUCGAAACUUUGGAUUUAUGACAUUCAA